AAUCAUGUGCUCACUUUGUCAUAUUCUAAAAUUGGUGUGAUAUGGAGAAGAUCAGCACAGUCCCUGCACAAGAACAACAUGCAAAUUGUGAAAUGUUCCAUGUUUUU
rnacentral:snRNA from 1 species